UACGUAGGUGGCGAGCGUUGUCCGGAUUUACUGGGCGUAAAGGGAGCGUAGGCGGAUUUUUAAGUGAGAUGUGAAAUACUCGGGCUCAACUUGAGUGCUGCAUUUCAAACUGGAAGUCUAGAGUGCAGGAGAGGAGAAUAGAAUUCCUAGUGUAGCGGUGAAAUGCGUAGAGAUUAGGAAGAACACCAGUGGCGAAGGCGAUUCUCUGGACUGUAACUGACGCUGAGGCUCGAAAGCGUGGGGAGCAAGCAGG
rnacentral:rRNA from 1 species